rnacentral:rRNA from 1 species
AACGGCCGCGGUAUCCUAACCGUGCGAAGGUAGCGUAAUCACUUGUUCUUUAAAUGAGGACUUGUAUGAAUGGCACCACGAGGGUUAAGCUGUCUCCUUUUUCUAAUCAGUGAAACUAAUCUCCCCGUGAAGAAGCGGGGAUCACCUUAUAAGACGAGAAGACCCUAUGGAGCUUAAAACAAAUUAACACUUGCUUCUAUUUAUUCUCCUUCCUGAACUAACACAUAAAACAUAGCACUAUUGAUUAAUAGUUUUCGAUUGGGGUGAUCAUGGAGCAAAAACCAACCUCCACGACGAAAAGGAACACUUCCCUGAGCUAAAAGCUACAACUUUAAGCACUAAAAAAUUAACGCACUUUGACCCAAAUUUUUGAGCAACGAACCAAGUUACCCUAGGGAUAACAGCGCAAUCCAUUUCAAGAGCCCCUAUCGACAAAUGGGUUUACGACCUCGAUGUUGGAUCAGGGUAUCCCAGUGGUGCAGCCGCUACUAAUGGUUCGUUUGUUCAACGAUUAAAACCCUACGUGAUCUGAGUUCAGACCGGAGAAAUCCAGGUCAGUUUCUAUCUAUAAAGGGCUUUUUCUAGUACGAAAGGACCGAAAAAGCAUGGCCAAUGACCAAUUAAGCCAUAUAAAUUACUUAUGUUUCCAACUUAAUUAAAAAUAAACCUACCACAAAUCUCAAAAAAAGAGAAGUUAACGUAGCAAAACCUGGCCCUGCAA